GUCUACGGCCAUGCUACCUUGAAUAUGCCCAAUCCCGUCUGAUCUCGAGAAGCUAAGCAGGGUCGGACCUGGUUAGUACUUGGAUGGGAGACCACCUUGGAAUACCAGGUGCUGUAGGCA
rnacentral:rRNA from 1 species